CAGGAGUGGUGAGUGUCACUUCCAGGCAGGGCCUCGAGGAAGUAGGUGAGCUUCUCCAUCCCUGUCUGUCUAGAUGCAGAGAACCCAAAGCCCUGCAGGAUGGCAAAGCUGCAACAUGGAAGUCACCCGGAUCACCACGUAAAGGAAAUCUCUCCAACCAGGAACAAACACCUGCCUUGCAAUAUUAGGUGUCUGCCUCCUGCCCCGGUCCACAGCCAGGAGCCCCGGAGCCAACGGCCAGCCUGGAAGACUUACAGUUCUCCCUCUGAGGGUUGCUGUGGCUUUCCAUGUUGUGGUGACUAAGUCCCUGUGUUUCUGUGCAGUCCCUGCUUCCUGGGACCAGGGAAGAAUGGUCCCGUGGCCACCAGACUUUCUCUGCUUGUAUCCUCCCAGGACCACAGAACUCAUCGCAUCCCAAGGCAGCCUAUUCCAUCAUGGAUGAGCUCAAAGUGUUUGAAAGUUCUGCUUUAUCAAGUGAGCCAAACUUCCUCCCUCAGGACCAUCCACUCCAGGGCCCAGUUAUUCUACUGGAGGAGUGAGGGUAAAGCCAUCACCAGGACAACCUUGGUGACAGGCUGGACUGGCAGCCAGCUUUUGGGGAUGACUUCAGGGAACCCUGAAUAGCCAUGGGAGCCAAAUGUAUUACUCCUCUGAUGCCUACAAUUCCACUAUAAUAGUCUGGUGGGCUUCUGUUAGGGAGGCUUAUACAUGGUGGAAAGAAUAAAGGCUUGGACUCAGCCUAGGUUCAAGUACUGCAUCUUGACCUGGCCUGUAGGCAAGUCUUUUCACUUCUCUGAGUUUUGGCUUUCUCAUUUGUCCAAUAGGAAUAACAAUAAUGAUAAUAAUAAUACCUCCCAUGCAGGAUUGCUAGUAUGUUCAAUGGGAUAAUAUAUCUAAACACCUCACACAAUGCCUGGCACAUAGCAGGUGUUCAAUUAGGUCUGUAUUAAAAUCCAGGCUCUGUCUCUUAUUAUUUAUAUGUCCUUGGACUUCAUUUCCUUGAACCCUAGACUCCCCAUCUCUAAGGUGGGGUUGAUAUUACUCACAUCCCACCAGGCUCUGGUCAGAAUCUUUUAAGUGUUUAUUUACAGAUAAUGUGCCAAGUUCUUUAUCUGAAUUGGACAUUUAAUCCUUUACUCUGUGGGUAGAAUAUUUAUAAUCACCCCAAUGUUUUCAAUGGGGAAACUAGGGCUCAGUGAGGUUGAUUGACUUUGCCCAAGGUCACAUGGCUGGUGAGGUGGCAGACUCAAGAUUUGAGUCCAGGCAUUUUGCUCCCGUGUAUACACUGUGUGUAUAAAGGACCUGGCACAAAGCAGCCAGGUCAUUUUGUGCUUGAACUGCUGCUCUGUCCCCAACUUCCCCAAAAAAGCACAACAUCCAGAGUAGGCCAAAGCUAUGUUACUUGGCUCUACCUAACUUCAAGCAGAGGAGGGGUUUCAAGGGAACCAAGUAUUUGUAGUGCAAAGCCACUGAGGUUUUGGAGUUAUUCGUUGUAACAGCUGGCAUGGCUUAACCUUGUCCUCUUAGCUGUUUUCAGCAUUUGCACCUGAGUGUCAAUCAGCUAGGAUGUUUUAGGCUGCAAGUAAUAGAAUACCCUAUUACUCCUGAAUUCAAUAAUAGGUGCCUUCGCAGUCAAGAAAUCUGGAGGUUACGUGGCUCCAGUUUUGGUUCAUUCAGAGGUUCAGUGAUGUCAUCUAGGACCCGCAUUUUGGCUUCAGCACCCUCAGUAUAUUGGCUGUAGCCCUGAGGCUUGGCCCGUCAUGCUCUCAACAUGGCUGCCAAAGUUCCAGACAUCGCAUCCUCAUGCAACCACUUAAAGGGAAAGAAUAGGGGACCUUCCCCACACCCCUUUUUAUAUAAUAAUUGAGGCCAGCCCUUCUCAAACCUCCUGUCCCAGCAUACUUUCUUUAUGUUUUAUUGGCCAGAACUGGGUCAUGUUCUUGUGGAAGACUACCAAGGCUCACCAAUAGCCAUCUUCUUCUUCCUGGGCACACAUGUGGGAUACAUUUCCCAGCCUUCUUUGCAGUUAGAUGUGGUCAUGUGACUGAGCUCUGGCCAAUGGGAUGUAAGCAAAAAUAAUUGUACUGAUUUCAGGUCUGGCUUAUAAAAAUCUUCUACCCACAAUCUUUCUGCCAUCUGCCUGCUGAAUGGAGAGGACUCUGAGAAUGAGGAAAGCCACAAAUAGGAAAAGUCUCAAUCCCUAUAUGACCUGCAGAAAACAGAGCCCUCCUGUCAAGACUUAUUGCAGUUUGAUGUGAGAAAGAACCAAGCAUUUAUAAUGCAAAGCCACUGAGGUUUUGGAGUUAUUUGUUACAGCAGUCAACAUGGCUAAACCCAAGGCAUAGAAGGACGGAGCUCAGGGAGACAGCUGCCUUCCUCACAUGCUGGGGCUAAGAGGGGUGCGAGCAGGGAGGAGAAGGGCUUCUGUAGAUGUCCAAAUCUGACCCAGGCCAGCUUCCACCACUGUCUAGCUGUGUGACUCUGGGCAAGUGCAUGACCCUUUCUGAGCCUCCUUAAAUAGUUACGUGAGGCAGUGGGACUGGAGGCUCUCACCCUAAGUGCCCAUAUGAUUAUGACAUUCACUGACUCCUUCCUCACAGCAGCCAGUGGCCAAAGAGAAAGGGUGUGGCUCCCCUAGGGGCUCCGGGUCAGGGUCACUGCUCUGUCUGGAAUCUGGGCUCUGCUGCCCAGAACGGCCCUCCUGAUGUCUGGAAUUCCACCAUGAGUGACUCAUGCCUUUGGGAAGCCACUGCCCUGACCCCACUGAGUAAUAACAAUAACAGCCCCUCGUGGCUUUUUCUUUGCUGAGAGUUUCAUAGUCCAUGGUCUAAUCUGGUCCCCAGCACACGGCUGUGAGUAGGCAGUGAAGGUGGAGAGAGUUAGAAUUGCCAUACACGAUGCAGGAAGCAAUGUGCCCACAGCUACACAGCAAGUUAGUGGCCAAGCCUAGAGUCCUGGACAGUGGCUUUUUCCCCAAAAACCCUUUGCUUGAAAAGGCUGCCUCUGAUAUUCGUGUGUCCAUGUUCAUAGCAGAUUAUUCACAAUAGCCAAAAGGUGAAAGGCACUCAAGUGUCCAUUGAUAGAUUAGUGGAUAAGCAAAAUAUAGUGUAUCCACACAAUGGAAGAUUUUCAGCCUUAAAAAAGGAAGGCAAUUCUGAUACAUGCUACAACAGGGAUGAAGCUUGAGGACAUUAUGCUAAGUGAAAUAAAUCAGUCACAGAAAGAUGCAUACUGUGUGAUUCCAUUUAUAGGAGGUAUCUGUCAAAAGUAGUCCAAUUCAUAGAGACAGAAAGUGGAAUUGCCAGGGGCUGGGGAGGGGGAAAUGAGAAGUUUCCUUAAUG
rnacentral:lncRNA from 1 species